GCAGGAAGCAAAAGAGGAAAAGGGGGAAGAUGACUAUUGAUGAUAAUGGUUCGUUGCACGGAAUGUCUACUAGGAAAAAGACGAAGGAUCUCUCCAGCCUCUAGCCUUUUGCUGGUAAGAAAUUAUGUUUAGAAGUUGCCAGCAAAGCGGGUUGCUACAAAUGUUAGUAUUCAAAUUUCUCUGUUCGACUUCAGCAAGUAUUAGCUGAUCUAAAUCAAGUGCCAACCUAACACUCGUGGCAUAUUUUGUUGAUUUCUUCUUUAGGUUAAUCUGUCAUGGAUAACCUUUGGAUGUUGUCAAUGGUGGCUAUUCAGAUGGAUCCAGCAUUAGCUAAGAGCUGGGGUAGAACGGAUGGCCAGUUCUGAAGCGCAAGAGCCUGAAAUUCAGAUGGAUCUUAGGGCUGUGAUAUGUUGCUGAUUUCGAACUCCCGAUGCUGCAUGCCAACUUGUGAUUUGUAAUGACCUCUCUA
rnacentral:lncRNA from 1 species